UUUAGCUUGUCGCCCCUUAGUCCACUUAAAAGGAAUUAAAACUUACCUUAUUUCCUGCCCCGAUCGACCUCCUUGAUCAGAAUUAAAAUAUUUUAGCCAAUCUAAUGCUUUUCCAUAGGGAAAGCACUGAAUUGACUGUAAUUGGCAAGGAGGUGGGACGGGGCAAGGCCAAACAGCACCUCCCCAUAGAGAUGCAUUGAAUCAAUGCAUCUCAAUGAGGAAAAUUCAGCGUCUCCU